AGAGUGGACUUGAGCCAGGAAUGACUUGCCGGAGACUAUUUACAACAAUUUGGUUAAUAUUUAUAGUAAUUAUCUAACCGGCAAGGAGUUCCUGGUUCAGGCUGGCUCUCU
rfam:Morus notabilis contig23289, whole genome shotgun sequence.